GUCUUUGCUUCGGCAAGACAUAUACUAAAAUUGGAACGAUACAGAAAAGAUUAGCAUGGCCCCUGCACAAGGAUGACACGCAAAAUCGUGAAGCGUUCCACAUUUUU
rnacentral:snRNA from 2 species